rnacentral:rRNA from 1 species
CAGCAGUGGGGAAUCUUGGACAAUGGGGGCAACCCUGAUCCAGCCAUGCCGCGUGAGUGAAGAAGGCCUUAGGUCGUAAAGCUCUUUCGCCUGUGAAGAUAAUGACGGUAGCAGGUAAAGAAACCCCCGGCUAACUCCGUGCCAGCAGCCGCGGUAAUACGGAGGGGGUUAGCGUUGUUCGGAAUUACUGGGCGUAAAGCGCGCGUAGGCGGACCAGAAAGUUCGGGGUGAAAUCCCCGGGGCUCAACCCCGGAACUGCCUCCAAAACUCCUGGUCUUGAGUUCGAGAGAGGUGAGUGGAAUUCCGAGUGUAGAGGUGAAAUUCGUAGAUAUUCGGAGGAACACCAGGUGGCGAAGGCGGCUCACUGGCUCGAUACUGACGCUGAGGUGCGAAAGUGUGGGGAGCCAAACAGGAUUAGAUACCCUGGUAG